AAUUAAAAAUUACAUCCAUUUGUACUGUUAAAAAAUGGCGUGGCUGACGGAAUAACCAGAUAGUACAAUAUGGCGUGUCACGUGUACCUCAUACUAACGUAAAAGGACCAAUUUUUAGUAGCAGAAAUAGAUGGAAUUUUUAACA
rfam:Gossypium raimondii Chr05_contig_1362, whole genome shotgun sequence.